rnacentral:rRNA from 1 species
GAUGAACGCUGGCGGCGUGCCUAAUACAUGCAAGUCGAGCGAACGGACGAGAAGCUUGCUUCUCUGCUGUUAGCGGCGGACGGGUGAGUAACACGUGGAUAACCUACCUAUAAGACUGGGAUAACUUCGGGAAACCGGAGCUAAUACCGGAUAAUAUUUUGAACCGCAUGGUUCAAAAGUGAAGGACGGUCUUGCUGUCACUUAUAGAUGGAUCCGCGCUGCAUUAGCUAGUUGGUAAGGUAACGGCUUACCAAGGCAACGAUGCAUAGCCGACCUGAGAGGGUGAUCGGCCACACUGGAACUGAGACACGGUCCAGACUCCUACGGGAGGCAGCAGUAGGGAAUCUUCCGCAAUGGGCGAAAGCCUGACGGAGCAACGCCGCGUGAGUGAUGAAGGUCUUCGGAUCGUAAAACUCUGUUAUUAGGGAAGAACAUAUGUGUAAGUAACUGUGCACAUCUUGACGGUACCUAAUCAGAAAGCCACGGCUAACUACGUGCCAGCAGCCGCGGUAAUACGUAGGUGGCAAGCGUUAUCCGGAAUUAUUGGGCGUAAAGCGCGCGUAGGCGGUUUUUUAAGUCUGAUGUGAAAGCCCACGGCUCAACCGUGGAGGGUCAUUGGAAACUGGAAAACUUGAGUGCAGAAGAGGAAAGUGGAAUUCCAUGUGUAGCGGUGAAAUGCGCAGAGAUAUGGAGGAACACCAGUGGCGAAGGCGACUUUCUGGUCUGUAACUGACGCUGAUGUGCGAAAGCGUGGGGAUCAAACAGGAUUAGAUACCCUGGUAGUCCACGCCGUAAACGAUGAGUGCUAAGUGUUAGGGGGUUUCCGCCCCUUAGUGCUGCAGCUAACGCAUUAAGCACUCCGCCUGGGGAGUACGACCGCAAGGUUGAAACUCAAAGGAAUUGACGGGGACCCGCACAAGCGGUGGAGCAUGUGGUUUAAUUCGAAGCAACGCGAAGAACCUUACCAAAUCUUGACAUCCUUUGACAACUCUAGAGAUAGAGCCUUCCCCUUCGGGGGACAAAGUGACAGGUGGUGCAUGGUUGUCGUCAGCUCGUGUCGUGAGAUGUUGGGUUAAGUCCCGCAACGAGCGCAACCCUUAAGCUUAGUUGCCAUCAUUAAGUUGGGCACUCUAAGUUGACUGCCGGUGACAAACCGGAGGAAGGUGGGGAUGACGUCAAAUCAUCAUGCCCCUUAUGAUUUGGGCUACACACGUGCUACAAUGGACAAUACAAAGGGCAGCGAAACCGCGAGGUCAAGCAAAUCCCAUAAAGUUGUUCUCAGUUCGGAUUGUAGUCUGCAACUCGACUACAUGAAGCUGGAAUCGCUAGUAAUCGUAGAUCAGCAUGCUACGGUGAAUACGUUCCCGGGUCU